GCCUGCUGUGAUGGGUAGGGGAGCGUCGUGUGCCGGUGAAGCUGCGCCGGAAGGCAGUGGUGGACGGUUCACGAGUGAGAAUGCAGGCAUGAGUAGCGAUUCACACGUGGGAAACGUGUGCGCCGAUUGACUAAGGGUUCCUGGGUCAAGCUGAUCUGCCCAGGGUAAGUCGGGACCUAAGGCGAGGCCGACAGGCGUAGUCGAUGGAUAACCGGUUGAUAUUCCGGUACCCGCUGUGAAGCGUCAAACAUCGAAUCCAGUGAUGCUAAGGCCGUGAAGCCGUUCCGGACCCUUCGGGGAAAGGAAAGUGGUGGAGCCGCUGAACCGAUCUGGUAGUAGGUGAGUGAUGGGGUGACGCAGGAAGGUAGUCCAGCCCGGGCGAUGGUAGUCCCGGGGUAAGGGUGUAGGCCGAGUGGUAGGCAAAUCCGCCGCUCAUCAAGGCUGAGACCUGAUGCCGAGCCGAUUGUGGUGAAGUGGAUGAUCCUAUGCUGUCGAGAAAAGCCUCUAGCGAGUUUCAUGGCGGCCCGUACCCUAAACCGACUCAGGUGGUCAGGUAGAGAAUACCGAGGCGUUCGGGUGAACUAUGGUUAAGGAACUCGGCAAAAUGCCCCCGUAACUUCGGGAGAAGGGGGGCCAUCACUGGUGAGAGGACUUGCUCCUUGAGCUGGGGGUGGCCGCAGAGACCAGCGAGAAGCGACUGUUUACUAAAAACACAGGUCCGUGCGAAGCCGUAAGGCGAUGUAUACGGACUGACGCCUGCCCGGUGCUGGAACGUUAAGGGGACCGGUUAGUCACAUUUCGGUGUGGCGAAGCUGAGAACUUAAGCGCCAGUAAACGGCGGUGGUAACUAUAACCAUCCUAAGGUAGCGAAAUUCCUUGUCGGGUAAGUUCCGACCUGCACGAAUGGCGUAACGACUUCUCGACUGUCUCAACCAUAGGCCCGGUGAAAUUGCACUACGAGUAAAGAUGCUCGUUUCGCGCAGCAGGACGGAAAGACCCCGGGACCUUUACUACAGUUUGAUAUUGGUGUUCGGUUCGGCUUGUGUAGGAUAGCUGGGAGACUUUGAAGCGGCCACGCCAGUGGUUGUGGAGUCGUCGUUGAAAUACCAGUCUGGUCGUGCUGGAUGUCUAACCUGGGUCCGUGAUCCGGAUCAGGGACAGUGUCUGAUGGGUAGUUUAACUGGGGCGGUUGCCUCCUAAAGAGUAACGGAGGCGCCCAAAGGUUCCCUCAGCCUGGUUGGUAAUCAGGUGUUGAGUGUAAGUGCACAAGGGAGCUUGACUGUGAGACCGACGGGUCGAGCAGGGACGAAAGUCGGGACUAGUGAUCCGGCGGUGGCUUGUGGAAGCGCCGUCGCUCAACGGAUAAAAGGUACCCCGGGGAUAACAGGCUGAUCUUCCCCAAGAGUCCAUAUCGACGGGAUGGUUUGGCACCUCGAUGUCGGCUCGUCGCAUCCUGGGGCUGGAGUCGGUCCCAAGGGUUGGGCUGUUCGCCCAUUAAAGCGGUACGCGAGCUGGGUUUAGAACGUCGUGAGACAGUUCGGUCCCUAUCCGCUGCGCGCGCAGGAACAUUGAGAAGGGCUGUCCCUAGUACGAGAGGACCGGGACGGACGAACCUCUGGUGUGCCAGUUGUUCUGCCAAGGGCAUGGCUGGUUGGCUACGUUCGGGAGGGAUAACCGCUGAAAGCAUCUAAGCGGGAAGCCUGCUUCGAGAUGAGUGUUCCCACCUCCUUGA
rnacentral:rRNA from 1 species